UCGAGGCAGGCGGCAGAACCACUGAGCUAAAUCCCCGGCCCUCUGCAACCUUUUUUAAAUUAAGGAAACAAUCCAGUUUUAACCAAUUCUUAUUCCUUCUGUGAGUUUAUAAAGAUAAUUCUCCUCCAUUUACUAAUUGUGGUAAAUUUCUAUAUUCUUUCCCCCUAGGACUCUUACUUCCUUUUGAGGAAUUCUCUUUCUCCUCUAUGCAAUCUUGAGAAAAGAGGAAUUUCUGGUGACCACGACCCCCUGUAAAACCCACUAGGCUUGGGCUGGGGAUUUAGCUCAGUGACGCCACACUUGCCUCUCAAGUGCAUGGUUCUGAGUUCGAUCUCCAGUACCAGGGGGAAAAAAAACAGCCAAGAUCCUACCUAGACCAGUAGAGCCAGGGGGUGGACACAGACUGUCUCCCCUAAAACAUGAACAGUAAUCCAAAGGAAGGGCUAUUUGGAAGUUGGUCAUGGCAGAAGCAAGGCUCCAACAGCCUUUCUCAGGCAGAUGCCUGAUACCACGAACCCAGAAACUCUGAACAGAGCUCCCUCCCCUCUUGCCACCCCUUCUGCCAGGGCUGCCCUUCCCUUCCAGGAGCCUCUGAACAGCAGCUUCCAACAAAUCUCUUCUAUGACUAGAUCUUUCUACUUGCAACCAAGAACUGCAACUGCCAUGUUAAUGGAGGGACAGAGAAGCCUGUCUUUUCAAAUCUAGGAAUAAACUGGAUAAGGAAAGCAGAUGAGUUUCUUUCUCAUGCUGAGAUCUGAGGGUUAUAAGCAUAUAUUAACUAAAGUUUCUAAUCAUUAUGGUAUACCAAUAAUUAUUACCUUAAAUAAAAUUUUGAAAGUAUCAGGCCAUUAUAGAUAUUCAGGAUAAAUUGUAUAAUUAAAUAUCGCUAUGUCUGCUGAACUGCUGAAACAAAAUAUGAAAAAAAGCAAACUCAAAAUGUCUAUCUUUAAUCUGUGAAACUGGAGAUAGACCUUUUCCCAAAGACAUAGGAAGAACUGGACCUUUAAUUGGGAUCCUUAAUCGUGCCAUUAAUAUUAUAGCAGUUCUGUAACUUCUUAAGAACACAAUGUGCAUCUUUUUGCAGUAACUUUUUUUUUUUGGUACCAGGGAUGGAACUCAAGACCUUGCACUUGCCAGACAGGAGUGGGACCACUGAGCUACAUCCCCGGCGACAAUAUGCAUCUUUUAAACCGCUGUAUCCAUGGCCUAGCACUCAAAAAGCAGACCAAGAUAAUACAACUUCAACGGGAAAAAAAUUUUUUUCACAAAAAUUUUUCUGUGAAUACAUGGUAAAAUUUCUAAACAGACUAAAAUGCAACGAGAGAAAAACAAUUAGAAUGGCAGCAGAUUUCUCAUUAAAAAACAGAUCAGAGGGAAGUGGUACAAUCUUCUGUAGGUGCUGAAAGAGGCAUUAACCCAGAAUUUAUACCCAGCAAACACAUCCUUCUGGAAUGAAGAGGUCAAGACAUUCUCAGAUGAAACAAAACUAUGAAUUGCCAGCAGACCUACCCUAAAAGAAUGGCUAAUGGAAGUAUUCUAAACAGAACAAAAAUGAUAAAAAUUAUGACGCCAAUAGAUUAAUAAAUAAUGCACACAGGACGUUACAGGAGCCACUGAAAAAAGCUAUACAAAGAGAUACUUUACAACAUUAGGAAAAAAAACCCACAAUGCAAGUCUAAAAAAUUUAAGUUACCCACAGUAAGGCACAAAAAAAGGAAAUAUGAAUCAAAAGCAGGAUAAGCAGAAAAAAAUAAGAAAAAAUGGCAGCCCUAAACCAUAUCAAUAUCUGCACUGCAUAUAAAUGAUCUAAAUUGCUGGGCAUACAGUAUUGGCAUACUCCUGUAAUUCCAGCUACUCAAGAGGCUGAAGUAGGAAGACAGCAAGUUCGAGGCCAAGGUGGGCAACUUAGCAAGGCUUUCCUUAAAAUUAAAAAAAAAAUUUUUUUUUUUGGUACUGGAGAUUGAACUUGGGACCUUGGCCUUGUGAGGCAGGUAGAGGCACCACUGAGCUAAAUCCCCCGUCCUAAAAAAAAAUUUUUUUUAAGAGCUGGGGCUAUAGCUCAGCUCCAUCCUCUGUAGCACACAAAUAAAUAGUCUAAACACAAUUACUCGCAGAGAUUGGUUCUUCAACUUUGGUGCUUGGGAAGACCAUGUUCUUGGAUCCUAUUGUGAACAGCCUUUGAAAAGGUCAUAAGACUACAGUUCAGAAGAAAGGAAUAGAGCUAAAUAAUCGAGAAAAUGCUUCCUCUUUUUUUUUUUUUGGUACUGGAGAUUGAACUCAGGACCUUGCGCUUGUGAGGCAUGCGCCGGAACCACUGAGCUAAAUCCCCGGCCAGUGCUUCCUCUUGAUACUGAUGUACUUGUCUACAGUGAUAAUUUAGAAAGUACUGAACAUCUUAUAAGAGAGUUCAUUACCCAUGUGGGCUUAGUUAUAGAGCAGGUGGUUUGUGACCACAUGGAAGGGAUCACGGCCUUCUAUUUAAAGGAAGCACAUAAGCAGGGUUGGUAAUAAAAUAAAAUUGCUGAAGUAAAGGCACAAUAAGGUAAAUUCUCAAAUAAUACAGAGGAAAUGGCCAAAAAAAAAAAAAAA